GCACUCUGAAAAUGCCAUUUUUGUCGCUCUAACCGAUGACAGCCUUUUAUAUGCUCACCCAGAUUCAAGAAUUGAUGAAGUAGGCAUCGUGAUGUCAGUUCGCAAGAAACAUCUUUUCAGAUCCGAUUACACCGUUUGCUUUCUUCGCUAUGUCGAAAAGCAAUGAAGAAAUGUUUUGGCGAGGAUGCCAAACAAGAGGAAUGUUCAGCUGUGCAGUCCAAUGAGUUCUUCUCUCAGGCUUGAACAGGGCUUGGAGUCAGAUCUGUUUCUGCUUCAGUGUUGUGCUGCAUUAUCUUCGCCAGAGUUCUUUGUGAGGACCAUUCAAGAGAGAUUUGGUUUAUCAAAUUAUACAUCUUUGGAACUCGCAGAACAGAAUGAAUGAUACCGCCAAUGACAUGGAGUGCGGCCACCAUGAACGAGGAAUAAGAGGAUCUGAUUCGGAGGGUGAAGAGUACGACCAUUUGGUAUGUCCAACCAAUUACUUUGUAUUUUCACGCCAUUAUUUUCCAUUGAUUACCAGAAUUAGAAGUGUAUACGCUUGAAUGCUACUGAUAUAAUUUGGUGUCUGUUACUUAACAUGCAUGCUGCCUGUCGUAUAUGAGAUACUAUCAUGGAGCAGGUAUCAAUCAGUUUUGUGACCAUAUGAAUGACUUGCUUGGUGUAAUUAAUUUUCCAUUCUUUUAUUUAGAGAUAUAUGAACAAAACGACAACAAUCUCGUGCUUGGAAGCCUGAUACAGUUUUUCUUGUUUGGAGGAUUGUCUAGAUCCUAUGAAGUUUUGCCCCCUCACAAGUCGUACAAUGGCAUCUCUCUUGGACCGUUAAUUGUCGUGCUCCUUUUGUUUUCUGGACAGCUAUCUGUUGCAAGAUUAGGUCUUGCUUCUCAUAAUGUACUUGCCAUGCUAUAUAAAAUGCUUUGAUUUUGUCUUCCAUUUCUAAACCACGUUGAGUUUGUUUUAGUUACAGACACAGGAUAAUUAGGAAAUUAUUUCUCUUGCUCGUUUGUUAAGUUUAUAGACCAAUCUUGAACUUUAGUGAUAAGAGUUCCCAUUAAUGUGACUAUGUUUAUAUUGUUUCCAAUCUACCCCUUUUAAACAUGUGAAACAAAAGCCUCAAUCCUCUAAAUGGUUGGUGCCCCUUCUCUAUUUAGAAUAAUAGGAUCCCAGACACUUGGCAGGAGAUACAAGAAAAGGAAAAGACAUUCAAGGAAUACCAUGAGAAAGGUUAGCUAUCACUUCUGGAAAAAAUACAGGAAGACUAAUCGAGAGAUCGAGAUUUAUCUAUAGAAUGAAUAAUUAUGUUCACCUGAUGGAGUGAUGAACUGAUGGGUCUGAUUGAGAUUUAUCUAUAUUAUUAGAGAUAUUCUAAAUCAUUAGUAGAUGUCAAUUUUAUUUAAACAAGCCUUCUUUGCUUACGCAAGUUUUUUUACAAAGCAGCUGAAUGUUGGUGGUUCCAGUGGGCAAUUGAUUAUCCCAUUUCUGCAGUUACCUCCAUAACAAAAAGUUCAGCAAAGAAUAUUUUUGGAAUGACUCGAUUGAGCAGAUGGUACACUGCUGAUUUUUCUAUAAUGGAUAACAUGAUAAUGAUGUAUAGGUCAACCAACUUAAGCUAUAGUGGAGAUUUACGAGAUUCCAAUAUUUUUUAGCUCCAGUUUGGAAGCUUAUAUUGCAAAUGGAGAAAAUAUACUAUAUAUUUCCAUUUCUAUCUGUCAAAUGUAUUUCCAUUUAUAUAUAUCAAAUGUUGCUUUGAAUAUUAGGCUCUUUCCUUGAGGUGAGACAUUCAGCAAAUGUAGACAAUUUACUAGAUAUUUCUAUACCUAUGAUCCAAAUGUUACUUUGCACUAUGUUGGAUUGUGUGAAACUUAGGCUGUUUUCUUGAAGCGAUACAUUUAGCAGAUGGGAUUGAACUUUU